UAAAAAUGACCGUUAAAUCGUGAUUUUUCUUUUUAUAACCGUCGAAAAGUUUUGUCCUGUUAAUUGAUCUCUGAAUGUUUGUUUUUUGUAAUUUUUGGCGUAUGCGAUCUCGAAGUAUAUACAAACAUGUUUGACGGUUGGAUCUUUGAAACUAGUUUCGUAGAAUGAGUAUCCCAUCAAAACAAUAAAUUCACUAAUACUUAAUAGUUUAUUCAUACUUUUAUUAAGUAUAACAUAAGAUUUUGUGGUAUCCA
rnacentral:lncRNA from 1 species